UUCCCUCUCUGCGUAGUGCCCCUUCAGCAAAGCGGGAGGAGAAAUGGAAGGGGUCCCGCUUCUCCUGCCGCUUUGCUGGAGAGGCGCUGCACAGAGAGGGA